UNUAAUCAGUCUUCUGGGAAAUCUAAUCGCUUAACUAUUAGGCUUCCAGGGGAUACUGUUAGACUUGGGACCGGGAGAGGUAAGAGGUACUGCAGGGGUAGGAGUGAAAUCUUGUAAUCCCUGUGAGACCACCAGUGGCGAAGGCGUCUUACCAGAACGGGUCCGACGGUGAGGGACGAAAGCUGGGGGCACGAACCGGAUUAGAUACCCGGGUAGUCCCAGCUGUAAACGAUGCUCGUUAGGUGUCAGGAACGGUGCGACUGUUUCUGGUGCCGAAGGGAAGCCGUGAAACGAGCCACCUGGGAAGUACGGCCGCAAGGCUGAAACUUAAAGGAAUUGGCGGGGGAGCACUACAACGGGUGGAGCCUGCGGUUUAAUUGGACUCAACGCCGGAAAACUCACCGGGGGCGACAGCAAUAUGUAGGUCAGGUUAAAGGUCUUACCUGAAUCGCUGAGAGGAGGUGCAUGGCCGUCGUCAGUUCGUACUGUGAAGCAUCCUGUUAAGUCAGGCAACGAGCAAGACCCGUGCCCACUGUUACCAGCAUAUCCUUUAUGGAUGAUGGGGACUCUGUGGGGACCGCUGCUGCUAAAGCAGAGGAAGGUGCGGGCUACGGUAGGUCAGUAUGCCCCGAAUCUCCCGGGCUACACGCGGGCUACAAUGGUUGGGACAAUGGGUAUCUACUCCGAAAGGAGUUGGCAAUCUCUUAAACCCAAUCGUAGUUCGAAUUGAGGGCUGUAACUCGCCCUCAUGAAGCUGGAAUCCGUAGUAAUCGCGUUUCAACAUAGCGCGGU
rnacentral:rRNA from 1 species